rnacentral:tRNA from 1 species
UUAAUAGAAACCAAAAAGAGGUAAAUCACUGUUAAUGAUUAAAAUGGAUAAAACCCUAUUAAA